GAGGAGGGCUGAGCUUACCCGUUUGGCUCGAGGACGUCAUCGAGAAGGUUGUCGGAUGGGUCUGCCCGCAAGUGAGAUGCCCUCUCUUCUUCUGCUUAGUUGUUUGGACCUCUCACUCUCCGUUCGCUGUCCCUUCUCUCUAUGAACGAACAUGUUCUCUCCUGCUUUCCUUUUUGGUUUUCCUUUUCUAAGCCUCCUCUUUGUCCCAAAACCACCAAAACCCCCC
rnacentral:lncRNA from 1 species